rnacentral:misc_RNA from 1 species
AACGCACAUUGCGCCCCUCGGUAUUCCGUGGGGCAUGCCUGUUCGAGCGUCAUUUCAAGGCUCAAGCUUCUCUGCUUGGUGUUGGGCGUCUGUCCCGCGCUCCGCGCAGGACUCGCCCCAAAGGCAUUGGCAGCCCAGGCCGCCCUCCCCGCCCGCAGCACAUUGCGUCCGGCGGGUCGAGCGGCGGCCCCGGCGUCCAGGAAGGACUCCUCUCCGUCUUGACCUCGGAUCAGGUAGGGAUACCCGCUGAACUUAA